CCUACGGGUGGCAGCAGUGAGGAAUAUUGGGCAAUGGCCGGAAGGCUGAACCAGCCAUGCCGCGUGAAGGUCAGUGCCCUAUGGGCGUUAAACUUCUUUUGUGCGGGAGCAAUAAUGGUCACGUGUGGCCAGACGAGAGUACCGUACGAAUAAGCAUCGGCUAACUCCGUUCCAGCAGCCGCGGUAAUACGGGGGAUGCAAGCGUUAUCCGGAUUUAUUGGGGUUAAAGGGUGCGUAGGCUGGGAGGUAAGUCAGCGGUGAAAUGCCCCCGCUCAACGGGGUGAAGUGCCAUUGAUACUGCCUUGCUGGAAUGCGGAUGACGUGGGAGGAAUGUGUGGUGUAGCGGUGAAAUGCAUAGAUAUCACACAGAACACCGAUUGCGAAGGCAUCUCACGAAUCCGCGAUUGACGCUGAUGCACGAAAGCGUGGGUAUCAAACAGGAUUAGAUACCCGUGUAGUC
rnacentral:rRNA from 1 species